rnacentral:rRNA from 1 species
GAUGAACGCUGGCGGCGUGCCUAAUACAUGCAAGUCGAACGCAUAGCGAAAGGUGCUUGCACCUUUCAAGUGUGUGGCGAACGGGUGAGUAACACGUGGACAACCUGCCUCAAGGCUGGGGAUAACAUUUGGAAACAGAUGCUAAUACCGAAUAAAACUUAGUGUCGCAUGACACAAAGUUAAAAGGCGCUUCGGCGUCACCUAGAGAUGGAUCCGCGGUGCAUUAGUUAGUUGGUGGGGUAAAGGCCUACCAAGACAAUGAUGCAUAGCCGAGUUGAGAGACUGAUCGGCCACAUUGGGACUGAGACACGGCCCAAACUCCUACGGGAGGCUGCAGUAGGGAAUCUUCCACAAUGGGCGAAAGCCUGAUGGAGCAACGCCGCGUGUGUGAUGAAGGCUUUCGGGUCGUAAAGCACUGUUGUAUGGGAAGAACAGCUAGAAUAGGAAAUGAUUUUAGUUUGACGGUACCAUACCAGAAAGGGACGGCUAAAUACGUG